ACUUCAUUCUUGCUUGGCUUUUCUCCAAGGUCUAUGGCUUGAAAAGCCACUAUUAAUGAAUCUUAACUACAAGAAC
rnacentral:tRNA from 1 species